GCAGCUGAAGGCAGGAAAGGCUAUUUAUUCAGCCUUAAAGUCCAUGGGCACCAUACAGAUAUUAGUUCAAAUACAGAAAUGCUGUAACUGUCCUAUGACAUGACUGAGGUGGCAAAUUACAGGCAUUUUUUCUGGGUGAGGUUCUGGCAGGUGGAGUGGGAGGAAUGUUUAUAGCAGGGAUGGUCAGGAAUGGCCAGAUUGCACAGGUAACUGAGAUCCAUUCCUUAGGAGGGGCACACCAUUAAUCCCCAGUGACUUGCAUUUUAUAUUGCGCUGGCUGCCAACGUCUUCACACAUCUAGCUUAAAUCUGGGUGAAAUUUAUGAUGAGACACAGUUAUGCCUUUAUGAGGUUGGAUUAUCAAAAGUGUGGCCAAGCAAGUGGGAGGAAGGAGCAGAGUAUUCAAGUAGCUGUGUGAACAUUUAUACAAGCAAGUGACAAGUGAAGAUUCACAUGGGAUGAGUGACAAACUCCAAUGAGAUCAUCUUUCUGAAGAGAUAUAGGCAGGAGCUCUUUCUUCAAUCAAGCUGUCUUUUGUUUUCCUGUGCCAUAAAUCAUAAAAAUAACUUCCCUCUUCCAUGAAAUGAACAGACAAAAAUAUGUUGAAGAAAGAAACCUGGCCAUCACCAUAAGCCACCUUAGUCAAGCAGCAAUUUGUUUAAUUCUUCCAGCUUCUUUGUUCUCCUUGAUGAUGAUGCCAAAGGCCUGGCGUAUAUUAUCCAACUUGUGACUUUCAUGGCCUUUUGAACAUUGGGACUUCAGAAAUCUAUCAGGAGAAUUAUGCUUGCAGGGGUUCUGAUGAAAUCACUGGACAAUUUCCAUCAAUCUCUGCCGAGCCUAAUGUUCUGCACUAUCAAAUUAUAGAACUGUUAUUUUCCAAGUCUGGGAAUGCAAAUGCAAUCAUCAGCUCUCCAGAUCAAGGUACUUCUCCUGUGCUCCAGGAUUUUUGAAAGAUGUGGUGCAGUGGUUCUGA